rnacentral:misc_RNA from 1 species
CAGAGAACAUCGCCCUCACGGGUGACUCUCCAACCCUAUGUUAUUAAAACCUUUGUUGCUUUGGCGAGCCGCUUCGGCCACCGGCCUCUGCUGGUGUGCGCUCGCCAGAGGACCCCACACUCUGUUUAUUAGUGUCGUCUGAGUACUAUAUAAUAGUUA